AAGCGCCGCUGUGUAUCUCUAUAUAUUGUGGGUGCGGGGUGGUUGGAGUUCUCUCUCUCCCCGGCAGUGUUCGUGGUGGUUACAGAUGAGGGAACUGAUGAGGUGGUACAUGCAUGCAUCCGGAGUUGUGUGUCCAUGUAGAAGUUGUGGGGAGCUUUUUGGUGAUGCCAUUGAUCCUCCCUGAGUGGUGCUGCUGGUGACCUGGUGUCCGGCUAUGUGUGUCUGCAGCGCACUGGUGGAGCUAGAGGAACUUGGCAGAAUAGCUGUAUUUGGAGUUGUGUUCAUGUAGAAGCCGUGUGGAUCCUCCAUGAGCGGUGUGAACUGACUGAUUCUGUAAGUGGGGUCUGCAGCAUGGUGUGCAGAGCUAGAGGAAAGUGGCUGGGAAGAGUCUGCUGAGGAAUGGCUGUGUACGAUUGGGAUCACAUUCUGUGUGGGCCAAGGGAAGAUUCUGUUGGAAUGCUGGCACUUACGCGAUGGUGCUGUCUACUUCUGUUUUUUUAUAAAUCUAAAUAAAACACUGUUCAGACACCA